AUUGAACGCUGGCGGCAGGCCUAACACAUGCAAGUCGAACGGUAACAGGAAGAAGCUUGCUUCUUUGCUGACGAGUGGCGGACGGGUGAGUAAUGUCUGGGAAACUGCCUGAUGGAGGGGGAUAACUACUGGAAACGGUAGCUAAUACCGCAUAACGUCGCAAGACCAAAAAGGGGGACCUUCGGGCCUCUUGCCAUCGGAUGUGCCCAGAUGGGAUUAGCUAGUAGGUGGGGUAACGGCUCACCUAGGCGACGAUCCCUAGCUGGUCUGAGAGGAUGACCAGCCACACUGGAACUGAGACACGGUCCAGACUCCUACGGGAGGCAGCAGUGGGGAAUAUUGCACAGUGGGCGCAAGCCUGAUGCAGCCAUGCCGCGUGUAUGAAGAAGGCCUUCGGGUUGUAAAGUACUUUCAGCGGGGAGGAAGGGAGUAAAGUUAAUACCUUUGCUCAUUGACGUUACCCGCAGAAGAAGCACCGGCUAACUCCGUG
rnacentral:rRNA from 1 species